AGUUUGAUCAUGGCUCAGGACGAACGCUGGCGGCGUGCUUAACACAUGCAAGUCGAACGGUGAAGCCCUUCGGGGUGGAUCAGUGGCGAACGGGUGAGUAACACGUGGGCAAUCUGCCCUGCACUCUGGGACAAGCCCUGGAAACGGGGUCUAAUACCGGAUAUGACCUUCCUCCGCAUGGGGGUUGGUGUAAAGCUCCGGCGGUGCAGGAUGAGCCCGCGGCCUAUCAGCUUGUUGGUGGGGUAAUGGCCUACCAAGGCGACGACGGGUAGCCGGCCUGAGAGGGCGACCGGCCACACUGGGACUGAGACACGGCCCAGACUCCUACGGGAGGCAGCAGUGGGGAAUAUUGCACAAUGGGCGAAAGCCUGAUGCAGCGACGCCGCGUGAGGGAUGACGGCCUUCGGGUUGUAAACCUCUUCAGCAGGGAAGAAGC
rnacentral:rRNA from 1 species